rnacentral:rRNA from 1 species
CAAUUUAAACAACGAAGAGUUUGAUCCUGGCUCAGGAUGAACGCUAGCGACAGGCUUAACACAUGCAAGUCGAGGGGCAGCACGAUGUAGCAAUACAUUGGUGGCG